rnacentral:rRNA from 1 species
UCUGGUUUGAUCCUGGCGGAGGUUACUGCUAUCGAGGUUCGACUAAGCCAUGCGAGUCGAAUGUAGCAAUACAUGGCGUACUGCUCAGUAACACGUGGACAACCUACCCUGAGGUCGGGGAUAAACCCGGGAAACUGGGUAUAAUACCCGAUAGAUCUAGAUUGCUGGAAUGCUUUUAGGUCUAAAGUUCCGACGCCUCAGGAUGGGUCUGCGGCCUAUCAGGGUAGUAGUGGGUGUAAAGUACCUACUAGCCUACGACGGGUACGGGUUGUGAGAGCAAGAGCCCGGAGAUGGAUUCUGAGACACGAAUCCAGGCCCUACGGGGUGCAGCAGGCGCGAAACCUUUACAAUGCUGGCAACAGCGAUAAGGGGACCUCGAGUGCUACGAUACAAUCGUGGCUGUCUAGUUGCCUAAAAAGCAAUUGAUAGCAAGGGCCGGGCAAGACCGGUGCCAGCCGCCGCGGUAACACCGGCGGCUCGAGUGGUAACCGCUAUUAUUGGGUCUAAAGGGUCUGUAGCCGGCUUAGUUAGUCUCUUGAGAAAUCUGGCCGCUCAACGGUCAGGCGUUCAGGGGAUACUGCUAAAGCUCGAGACCGGGAGAGGUGAGAGAUACUUCAGGGGUAGGGGUGAAAUCUUGUAAUCCUUGAAGGACCACCAGUGGCGAAGGCGUCUCACCAGAACGGAUCUGACGGCAAGGGACGAAAGCUAGGGGCACGAACCGGAUUAGAUACCCGGGUAGUCCUAGCCGUAAACGAUACUCGCUAGGUGUCGGCCACGGUGCGACCGUGGUCGGUGCCGUAGGGAAGCCGUGAAGCGAGCCACCUGGGAAGUACGGCCGCAAGGCUGAAACUUAAAGGAAUUGGCGGGGGAGUACUACAACGGGUGGAGUUUGCGGUUUAAUUGGAUUCAACGCUGGAAAUCUUACCGGGGCCGACAGCGAUAUGAAGGCCAGGCUAAGGACCUUGCCUGAUUAGCUGAGAGGUGGUGCAUGGCCGUCGUCAGUUCGUACUGUGAAGCAUCCUGUUAAGUCAGGCAACGAGCGAGACCCA